AGGCCAUCACGUUUCUGACGGA
rnacentral:siRNA from 1 species